UUUUCUUUAGGUAAUAGGUUACUUGGAACUAGCUUGAGACUACCCAAACUAUGAGAUUUGGUUUGGUGAAUUUUGUGAUACAUUGCAAGGUGGUGUCUAGGAGACCUAAUGCUUAAUAUCCGCGCAGCCAAGACAUUGAUGCUUUGGUUGCAGGUUAUGCGGAUAUAGAUAUUGACACGUCCACCUAGCGUAUGAGAUGCUAUGAUUGGAGCAUAUUGCGAUAGUCAUAAGUCACAAACUCAAGGUUAGUCUGUAUUUUGAGUAUUUUAUUUAUGGCUCGUGUCUUACGUGGCACAUGUAUUUGUUGAGCCUGUAUUUUAGUAUGUAAAUAGUGUAAUAUGUCUUAUAAGC